UACAGAGGGGGGCUAGCGUUGUUCGGAAUUACUGGGCGUAAAGAGCUCGUAGGUGGCUUGUCACGUCGGGUGUGAAAGCUUGGGGCUUAACUCCAGGUCUGCAUUCGAUACGGGCUGGCUAGAGGUAGGUAGGGGAGAACGGAAUUCCUGGUGUAGCGGUGAAAUGCGCAGAUAUCAGGAGGAACACCGGUGGCGAAGGCGGUUCUCUGGGCCUUACCUGACGCUGAGGAGCGAAAGCGUGGGGAGCGAACAGG
rnacentral:rRNA from 1 species